GACGAACGCUGGCGGCGUGCUUAACACAUGCAAGUCCAACGGAAAGGCCCUGCUUGCAGGGUACUCGAGUGGCGAACGGGUGAGUAACACGUGGGUGAUCUGCCCUGCACUUCGGGAUAAGCCUGGGAAACUGGGUCUAAUACCGGAUAGGAGCCAUUUUUAGUGUGAUGGUUGGAAAGUUUUUUCGGUGUAGGAUGAGCUCGCGGCCUAUCAGCUUGUUGGUGGGGUAAUGGCCUACCAAGGCGGCGACGGGUAGCCGGCCUGAGAGGGUGGACGGCCACAUUGGGACUGAGAUACGGCCCAGACUCCUACGGGAGGCAGCAGUGGGGAAUAUUGCACAAUGGGCGCAAGCCUGAUGCAGCGACGCCGCGUGGGGGAUGACGGCCUUCGGGUUGUAAACUCCUUUCGCUAGGGACGAAGCUUUUUGUGACGGUACCUAGAUAAGAAGCACCGGCUAACUACGUG
rnacentral:rRNA from 1 species